rnacentral:rRNA from 1 species
ACAGCAGUAGCCGCGGGAAUACGUAGGGUGCGAGCGUUAAUCGGAAUUACUGGGCGUAAAGCGUGCGCAGGCGGUUGUGUAAGACAGGUGUGAAAUCCCCGGGCUUAACCUGGGAACUGCGCUUGUGACUGCACAGCUAGAGUAUGGCAGAGGGGGGUGGAAUUCCACGUGUAGCAGUGAAAUGCGUAGAGAUGUGGAGGAACACCGAUGGCGAAGGCAGCCCCCUGGGCCAAUACUGACGCUCAUGCACGAAAGCGUGGGGAGCAAACAGGAUUAGAUACCCGAGUAGUCCCUGUCUCUUAUAC